ACGAACGCUGGCGGCGUGCUUAACACAUGCAAGUCGAACGGAAAGGCCCUGCUUUUGUGGGGUGCUCGAGUGGCGAACGGGUGAGUAACACGUGAGUAACCUGCCCUUGACUUUGGGAUAACUUCAGGAGACUGGGGCUAAUACCGGAUAGGAGCUCCUGCUGCAUGGUGGGGGUUGGAAAGUUUCGGCGGUUGGGGAUGGACUCGCGGCUUAUCAGCUUGUUGGUGGGGUAGUGGCUUACCAAGGCUUUGACGGGUAGCCGGCCUGAGAGGGUGACCGGCCACAUUGGGACUGAGAUACGGCCCAGACUCCUACGGAAGGCAGCAGUGGGGAAUAUUGCACAAUGGGCGGAAGCCUGAUGCAGCAACGCCGCGUGCGGGAUGACGGCCUUCGGGUUGUAAACCGCUUUCGCCUGUGACGAAGCGUGAGUGACGGUAAUGGGUAAAGAAGCACCGGCUAACUACGUG
rnacentral:rRNA from 1 species